CCUACGGGAGGCAGCAGUAGGGAAUCUUUCACAAUGGGCGAAAGCCUGAUGGAGCAACGCCGCGUGCAGGAUGAAGGCCUUCGGGUUGUAAACUGCUUUUAUAAGCGAGAAAUAUGAUGGUAACUUAUGAAUAAGGAUCGGCUAACUACGUGCCAGCAGCCGCGGUCAUACGUAGGAUCCGAGCAUUAUCCGGAGUGACUGGGUGUAAAGAGUUGCGUAGGUGGCAUAAUAAGUAGCUAGUGAAAUCUGGUGGCUCAACCAUUCAGACUAUUAGCUAAACUGUUAAGCUCGAGACCGUUAGGGGUAACUGGAAUUGCUAGUGUAGGAGUGAAAUCCGUAGAUAUUAGAAGGAACACCAAUAGCGUAGGCAGGUUGCUGGGACGGUUCUGACACGAAGGCACGAAAGCGUAGGGAGCAAACGGGAUUAGAUACCCCGGUAGUC
rnacentral:rRNA from 1 species